AUACGGAGGGUGCAAGCGUUACUCGGAAUCACUGGGCGUAAAGCGCACGCAGGCGGCUUGAUAAGUUGGAUGUGAAAGCCUACGGCUCAACCGUAGAACUGCAUCCAAAACUGUCAGGCUAGAGUGUGGGAGAGGAAGAUGGAAUUAGUUGUGUAGGGGUAAAAUCCGUAGAGAUAACUAGGAAUACCAAAAGCGAAGGCAAUCUUCUGGAACACUACUGACGCUGAGGCGCGAAGGCGUGGGGAGCAAACAGGAUUAGAAACCCCGGUAGUCC
rnacentral:rRNA from 1 species